rnacentral:lncRNA from 10 species
CCACCACGUCUGGCCAGAAACUGCACUGUUUUUGUUCACUUUUGUUUCUUCAACAUCUAGCACAAUGUCCUAGCCCAUGGUAGGCAAUAAAGUAGUGAAUGAAUAAGUGAAUGAAGUAUCCAGAGCUUCAUGUCACAUGUGGGGGAUUGAAUAAGUCCCUGGCAUUAUUUUGAAUAGCGAUCUCUUGUACAGUCUUAAGCCCUGGUGACCUGAUGUUUCUGAUUGCAUGCAGUCUUGCCCCUUGCCAGACCUAAUAAUGUAGCAUGCAGCCAGUAGCUUCUCUGGGGCCCCCAGAGAGGGUCUCUGGUCCUAACCAUAACCUGACAACCUCUCUGUCUUGUUUUUUGCAGGUUGUGGACCUGGCCUAUUAGCAGAUGCCAAGAUGCGGGUAUUUGAACGUUCAGUGUAUUUUGGUGAUUCCUGCCAAGAUGUUCUUAGCAUGCUUGGCUCUCCACACAAAGUCUUCUAUAAAUCAGAAGACAAGAUGAAAAUUCAUUCUCCUUCCCCUCAUAAACAAGUUCCAUCGAAGUGUAAUGACUACUUUUUUAACUACUUCACUCUUGGAGUGGACAUCCUCUUUGAUGCGAAUACACACAAAGUGAAGAAGUUUGUUCUACACACCAAUUACCCUGGGCAUUAUAAUUUCAACAUUUAUCAUCGCUGUGAGUUCAAGAUCCCACUAGCCAUAAAGAAAG